rnacentral:rRNA from 1 species
CCUACGGGUGACAGCAGUGGGGAAUAUUGGACAAUGGGCGCAAGCCUGACGCAGCCACGCCGCGUGUAUGAAGAAGGCUUUCGGGUUGUAAACUACUUUUAUCAGGGACGAAGCAGGUGACGGUACCUGAUGAAUAAGCCACGGCUACCUACGUGCCAGCAGCCGGGGUAAUACGUAGGGGGCAAGCGUUAUCCGGAUUUACUGGGUGUAAAGGGCGCGCAGGCGGGGGUGCAAGUCAGAUGUGAAAACUGAGGGCUCAACCCAUAGCCUGCAUCUGAAACUGUCAAACUAGAGUACGGGAGAGGUAAGAGGAAUUCCAAGUGUAGCGGUGAAAUGCGUAGAGAUGAGGAGGAACACCAGUGGCGAAGGCGUCCUCCUGGACCGAGACUGACGCUGAGGUUCGAAAGCGUGGGGAGCAAACAGGAUUAGAUACCCCAGUAGUC